rnacentral:misc_RNA from 1 species
GUCGCUUAUCGAAGAGAAUGUCUGUCGCACAAAGGUGCAGUCCUGGAGCUGAGCCAGGAAGGGACCGUAAUGGUUAAGGGCAAAGCUCACGCUGACAGCUGCUUUCAUCUGGCCGUAAAUAUUCGGAGUAACACGGCCCACAGUCGUGCAUAUGUCGUUUCCAGAGACCACCGUUAUAUUGCAUACAUAUGGCUGCCAUGCCUGUGUUGCAUUAUCCAAACUAACUUCUCCUGCG